AAAAGAAGACAUUAUACUGAAAGAUGAGCAACAUCUGAUCAAUUGUCUAAAUUGUGAUCAAACACCGUAGAGAUAUAUGAUAUGACAACAACACUGAGAAUGUGAUUGUUGUGAAACUUCAACGUGAUUGUGCAGUACCUACUGAAGUAACUACCAUAUAUAUGUGGCCAUCCUUUUUCUAUGUGAGCAAAUCCAAAUCAACCAAAGAUAUCUGAAACUACUCAAUGUCUCUGUAGGCAUAUUUUUCAUCGACAUAUUUAUGGUAUCUUGAUGCUUCACUCUUGAUUCUCUUGAGUCCAUCAGAAUGGUCUUCAUGGCGCGGACUUUCUCCUUCAUCUACUAAAAACCUGAUGUCACCAAAAAGACGAAUCAUCUUGUACAUAAAAACAUUACAUCACUAACAAAUUUCUAUGAUCAAUAUAUACUCCUCAUUGUGAAGAUUUAGAGCAUAUCCAAACUGAGAAUAGUUAGAAUAUAUCUAGCUAAUCCUAACUGAGAAGAGUUAGAACAUAUCCAAACUUCCUAGUGAGACUUAUGUAUUUCUAGGAAGCUUAGGCCGGGUUACAAUUAUGUAUGUAAUGCCUUAGGAAAAUCAAAUAAAACAACAAUAAGGGAGCUAGCUACCUCACCCUUUGAUUCAAAGUUGCACAGUGUUGAUGCCCGGGAGGAACAUGCUGCCCAGAAACAAAAGUUUUGUUUUCGUAGAAAAAAACUUGUUGGUAAGCAUGACUGAAAUUACUACCUUGGGUGCGGUAUGGGUUGUCCUCAUCCUGGUCUGCCAACAUGAUCAGCUUUGGCGGCAGCUGGCGAUGUGGUUGCGAGGCUUGGGCGCCAUGGCGAGGACGUCGUCCAGGAUGCCACAUGAGCCUGUCAAGCUCAAGGAUAGGGGGCUUCGGCAGUGGCAAAAGGAUGCACAUAUGGAUGUUCCCUUACCAGGCGUCGUUGUCGACCUGCUAGUCAACAUUCAUCUCUUACUCUGGUUGUGCUAUUAUGCGGGCAUGUGGUGCUUAGUUUUAAUUUCCCUGUCGUUCUUAGACCAUGACUGAUCAAUCACCACCAUACAUUUAUAUGAUCUAUUACUCCGUACUUGUUACUCUUGUUUCUCUGCAUUGUUUG
rnacentral:lncRNA from 1 species